GACGUAGGGGGCCAGCGUUGUUCGGAAUUACUGGGUGUAAAGGGUUCGUAGGCGGUGUAGCAAGUCGGGAGUGAAAUCUCUGGGCUUAACCCAGAGGCUGCUUCCGAAACUGCUGUGCUUGAGUGUGGGAGAGGCGCGUGGAAUUGCAGGUGUAGCGGUGAAAUGCGUAGAGAUCGGGAGGAAGGCCGGUGGCGAAGGCGGCGCUCUGGAACAUUUCUGACGCUGAGGCUCGAAAGCGUGGGGAGCAAACAGG
rnacentral:rRNA from 1 species